rnacentral:misc_RNA from 1 species
GAUGAAGAACGUAGCGAAAUGCGAUAAGUAAUGUGAAUUGCAGAAUUCAGUGAAUCAUCGAAUGUUUGAACGCAUCUUGCGCUCCUUGGUAUUCCGAGGAGCAUGCCUGUUUGAGUGUCCAUUAAAUUCUCAACCGUACUAGCUUUUGCGAAGUAAGGCUUGGAUGUGGGGGUUACUUUUGCUGGCUUCUAACGAGGUCGGCUCCCCUGAAAUGCAUUAGCGGUGCCCUUGUGGACCCCGACUAUCAGUGUGAUAAUUAUCUACGCUGUUAGGCGCCCACGCUAUAGUGUGCUGCUUCUAACCGUCCGGUUUCUGGACAACACAAAUGACAUUUUUGACCUCAAAUCAGGUAGGACUACCCGCUGAACUUAAGCAUAUCAAUAAGCGGAGGA